UACGGGGGGAGCAAGCGUUGUUCGGAUUUACUGGGCGUAAAGGGCGCGUAGGCGGUCAGCACAAGUCAGUUGUGAAAUCUCCGGGCUUAACUCGGAAAGGUCAACUGAUACUGUGCGACUAGAGUGCGGAAGGGGCAACUGGAAUUCUCGGUGUAGCGGUGAAAUGCGUAGAUAUCGAGAGGAACACCUGCGGCGAAGGCGGCUCACUGGACUGGUAUUGACGCUGAGGUGCGAAAGCGUGGGGAGCAAACAGG
rnacentral:rRNA from 1 species